GAAAGAGAAGGAUUCAAUACCUGGAAAUCUCAUUGCGUUUUAAGGUUGUUGAGUAUCGUGGUGAGCAAAUAGGAGGUCUUGAGGAUCUGAGGGAACCAUAUAUGUUGUUUUCUUCCUUUAUAGAUAAAUUCUUGCUUAGCUUUUAUUACAUGGUUUGCGUCUAAUUGAAAACUUCACGUCUUUGCCCAUUUCAGGUUCUUACAAAAUCGGUACUGCGUCUGAAUCUGUUAAUGCAGCUUACAUAUUUUCUAGAAAAGAUCUUUCUCGGCCUGCUAUACAGAUUCCCUGCGCAAGCAAAGCUGUUGUAGCUGUCCGGUUCUGUCCUAUAUUUUUUAAUCUCAAAGCGACAAACUCAGGUA